rnacentral:tRNA from 1 species
UCUCUGGUGGCUCAGAUGGUACAGCACCUGCCUACAAUGCAGGAGACCCAGGUUUGAUCCCUGGGUUGGGAA